CAAGAGUCUCAGAUGAGGAUGCUGUUGGAAUUUGCCGAAUGCCUCAGAAAGGUCAGCCUCCUGCUCAUCCAUCCAGGACGACAAAAGACAAGGAGGAGGGAGACUGUCUCCCUUCAGCAGCCCAUAGCACUUCGGUGGACCUGCAUCUGCUGAUAGCCUGCUGUUUCCCUUCUCUGAGGCUCCUGGACUAGAAUAUAAGCUCAGCAACCCCCUUGGUGGAGCUUCACAAGGGACAAGAGCUCUGUCUUUGCCUGGCCACCAGCUGGAGGGAGGACUGAGCUCAUCUCUGCAACUCCAGGGUACAACCUGUUCCCCUCUCCCCGCUGUGUUCCUGGAAUGUUGGUUAAGCACGUAAAUAAAUCAGUGACUUGGUUUUCCAUCCCUACUCCACUGACUGCUACCUCUCAGUGUGGCACAGAGAAGAUGGCUUGAGGCACCCUCUCUAAGCUCC
rnacentral:lncRNA from 1 species